UGGGGAAUAUUGCGCAAUGGGGGAAACCCUGACGCAGCAACGCCGCGUGAAGGAUGAAGGUUUUCGGAUUGUAAACUUCUUUGAUGAGGGACGAACACAAUGACGGUACCUCAAAAACAAGCCACGGCUAACUACGUGCCAGCAGCCGCGGUAAUACGUAGGUGGCGAGCGUUGUCCGGAAUUACUGGGUGUAAAGGGCGCGUAGGCGGGAGAGCAAGUCAGAUGUGAAAUCCCCGGGCUUAACCCGGGAACUGCAUUUGAAACUGUAUCUCUUGAGUGCUGGAGAGGAAAGCGGAAUUCCUAGUGUAGCGGUGAAAUGCGUAGAUAUUAGGAGGAACACCAGUGGCGAAGGCGGCUUUCUGGACAGUAACUGACGCUGAGGCGCGAAAGCGUGGGGAGCGAACAGG
rnacentral:rRNA from 2 species